rnacentral:tRNA from 1 species
GGGAAGGUAGCUCAACGGUAGAGUGCUUGCCUCGAAUGCAUGAGGCCCUGGUUCGAUUCCUCAGUACCA